UACGUAGGUGGCAAGCGUUAUCCGGAAUUAUUGGGCGUAAAGCGUCCGCAGGUGGCUGUUCAAGUCUGCUGUCAAAGCGCAGAGCUUAACUCUGUACAGGCGGUGGAAACUGAAGAGCUAGAGUAUGGUAGGGGUAGAGGGAAUUCCCGGUGUAGCGGUGAAAUGCGUAGAUAUCGGGAAGAACACCAGUGGCGAAAGCGCUCUACUGGGCCAUAACUGACACUGAGGGACGAAAGCUAGGGGAGCGAAAGGG
rnacentral:rRNA from 1 species